rnacentral:rRNA from 1 species
UACGAAGGGGGCGAGCGUUGUUCGGAUUUACUGGGCGUAAAGGGCGCGUAGGCGGCUCUUUUUGUCAGGCGUGAAAGCCCCGGGCUUAACCUGGGAACUGCGUUUGAUACUGAUGGGCUAGAGUUCGGGAGAGGUGAGUGGAAUUCCCAGUGUAGAGGUGAAAUUCGUAGAUAUUCGGAGGAACACCAGUGGCGAAGGCGGCUCACUGGCGCGGUACUGACGCUGAGGUGCGAAAGCGUGGGGAGCAAACAGG